GAUCAUGGCUCAGGAUGAACGCUAGCUACAGGCUUAACACAUGCAAGUCGGGGGGCAGCAUGGUCUUAGCUUGCUAAGGCCGAUGGCGACCGGCGCACGGGUGAGUAACGCGUAUCCAACCUGCCUUACACUCUUGGACAGCCUUCUAAAAGGGAGAUUAAUACAAGAUGUUAUCAUGAGUAAGCAUUUUCGCAUGAUUAAAGGUUUACCGGUGUAAGAUGGGGAUGCGUUCCA
rnacentral:rRNA from 1 species